CGUAUGGUGCAAGCGUUAUCCGGAUUUACUGGGUGUAAAGGGAGCGCAGGCGGUGCGGCAAGUCUGAUGUGAAGCCCGGGCUCAACCCCGGUACUGCAUUGGAAACUGUCGUACUAGAGUGUCGGAGGGUAAGCGGAAUUCCUAGUGUAGCGGUGAAAUGCGUAGAUAUUAGGAGGAACACCAGUGGCGAAGGCGGCUUACUGGACGAUAACUGACGCUGAGGCUCGAAAGCGUGGGAGCAAACAGGAUU
rnacentral:rRNA from 1 species